rnacentral:rRNA from 1 species
GACGAACGCUGGCGGCGUGCCUAAUACAUGCAAGUCGAGCGAAGCGCCGGAUGGGUGAGUAACGCGUGGGUAACCUGCCCCUAAGUCUGGGAUACCUUUUGGAAACAGAUGCUAAUACCGGAUACUAUAGGAUGGACCUGCGCUUCAUUAGCUAGUUGGUAAGGUAACGGCUUACCAAGGCGAUGAUGCGUAGCCGAGUUGAGAGACUGAUCGGCCACAGUGGGACUGAGACACGGCCCAGACUCCUACGGGAGGCAGCAGUAGGGAAUAUUGCACAAUGGACGAAAGUCUGAUGGAGCAACGCCGCGUGAGUGAAGAAGGUUUUCGGAUUGUAAAGCUCUGUUGUUGGUGAAGCGGUAAUCACACAGAAAGCCACGGCUAACUACGUGCCAGCAGCCGCGGUAAUUC